UACGUAGGGUGCAGGCGUUAAUCGGAAUUACUGGGCGUAAAGCGUGCGCAGGCGGUCUUUUAAGUCAGAUGUGAAAUCCCCGGGCUUAACCUGGGAACUGCGUUUGAAACUGGAAGGCUUGAGUGUGGCAGAGGGGGGUGGAAUUCCACGUGUAGCAGUGAAAUGCGUAGAUAUGUGGAGGAACACCGAUGGCGAAGGCAGCCCCGUGGGCUAACACUGACGCUCAUGCACGAAAGCGUGGGGAGCAGACAGG
rnacentral:rRNA from 1 species